rnacentral:tRNA from 1 species
GGUGGAGCAGCCUGGUAGCUCGUCGGGCUCAUAACCCGAAGGUCAUCGGUUCAAAUCCGACCGCUACCA